UACGAAGGGGGCUAGCGUUGCUCGGAAUCACUGGGCGUAAAGGGCGCGUAGGCGGGAUGGCAAGUCGGUCGUGAAAUCCUUCGGCUCAACCGAAGAACGUCGGCCGAUACUGCCGUUCUUGAGGGAUGCAGAGGAGAUUGGAAUUCCCGGUGUAGCGGUGAAAUGUGUAGAGAUCGGGAGGAACACCGGUGGCGAAGGCGGGUCUCUGGGCAUCUCCUGACGCUGAGGCGCGAAAGCGUGGGGAGCAAACGGG
rnacentral:rRNA from 1 species